rnacentral:rRNA from 1 species
AGGAGUGGAGCCUGCGGCUUAAUUUGACUCAACACGGGAAACCUCACCAGGCCCGGACACCGGAAGGAUUGACAGAUUGAGAGCUCUUUCUUGAUUCGGUGGGUGGUGGUGCAUGGCCGUUCUUAGUUGGUGGAGCGAUUUGUCUGGUUAAUUCCGAUAACGAACGAGACUCUAGCCUGCUAACUAGGCGUAACUUUCCGGUAUCUUGAAGGCCGGCGUCUCUCGUAUCCGUUCGUGCGUGGCCAUCGUUUCGGCGGUGUGUUGCGUAUGUGGCGGUCGGGAGUUCGUGGUUUUUACUACCGGCGUACAAUUGUAUCUUCUUAGAGGGACAGGCGGCUCCUAGCCGCACGAGAUUGAGCAAUAACAGGUCUGUGAUGCCCUUAGAUGUUCUGGGCCG